CCUGCGGGUUGUAAAGCACUUUUAGUGGGGACAGAAAGCGUACGGAUUAAUACUCUGUGGUCUUUGAUUUUAACCCAAAAGGAAAAAAGACACCGGCCUAACUCUGUGC
rnacentral:rRNA from 1 species